UCUCUCACAAAGCUUGGUUAUAAUAUAGACGUAAAUCUGUUCUCUUCAUUCUAGUUACUUCUUUCUGUAUUUUUAAGGAUCUCUUAAACACUUGUGAGCUUAGUACCAAAUCUAGACACCGUAAGAUAAAAAUCAAUAUAGCUGGGGCUGGGAUUUUAGCUCAGCGGCAUAAGCGCCUGCCUUCCAAGCAGGCAGUCAUGAGUUGGAUCCUGGUACCGGUAAAAACGAAAAAGACCAAAAAAAAUCAAUAUAGCUACGUGUUCUAUGAUCUUUUCUCUCUUAUUCCUUUGUUGGCAACCAAAAGUAAGUACUAAUCUCUAUUUUAAUGUUGGCUGUGUGUGCACAAGCAAGUAUGCUGCAUAGAUAUGUAUAUAGUUUUAUGUUGAACUUUCUUAAAGUGUAUCAUUAUAUGGGUAGUUUUCUGAGUUUUAAAUUUAAAUAUGUCAAUAUUAUGCUAUUAAUAUUUGGCCAUGUUGUUGAAUAUACCUGAGGUCAAUUCAUCUUUACUAUUGUGUCAGUUCUAUUUUGGUAAAUAUGCUCCAAUACUUUUAUCCAAUAGGCAUUUAAGACAUUUGGUAUUAUGAAGAUCACCUCUAUAAAAAAAUGAUUGUUGGUGCAUAACUGCAUUAAUAUUCCAUAAGUGUAUUAUCAGUUGUGGAAUUUCCGGUUCCAAGCUCAUGAAACUGUAUAUUUUUCAGAUGUUUAUAUUCAAUAUCAAAGCAUAUCACGGGGGAAAGGAAUAAAUGGUGACGAGAACAGUGAUAGCACAUAUGAAAAUAACUGGAAUUGAAUUUGUCUCUUAUGAAAUAAACACAAAAACCAAAUGUCUGAAACACUUCAAGUAAAACAAGCACCGAUAAAAUAUAAAGAAGAUUUGCAUUUUGGACCAAUUUGGAGGAAAAGGGUUCACAUCACAACCCAUCUCCCCAUAGUGAACAUACAAUAAUGAAAAUGAUUUUGUAAAACAAUUGUUUCCUAGAUUUUAGGUACUAGGUAAAGAGAGGUAAUGAUGCCAGACAGAGAGGAAUGGAAAAUAAAGUCAGUGUUACAAAUAAAGUCAGUCUGGUUCUCCAGCAUACUUCCUGGAGGAACUUUCCAGAAAAAGGCAUGAAGAGGGGAAGCAGAGGCAGGUCCCAUUGUGUUGAGGAGAAGAACCAAGCAGGCAGGGUUCAUGGAGCAGAGAACCAGAGGACAGUGCACUAGAGUACCAGAGUACCAGAGGAAAAAGGGCCUGAGCAUCAGCAAAGUGAACCCUUUGAUAACAUCACCAAGAAACCCAUUUCCAGAACAAUAUCCAAUGUUUUCAGAUGAGAGAACAAACCAAGACCUUCAAAAGACUGAGGAAGGGGGAAGGUAACAGAGACUACCCCACUCAUAACAGGAAAUUGGUAGCUCUGUUAUUCCCACUGGAAAAAUAAUGCUUCAUAACAUGUUGGCUCAGUGGUUAUAAUUAGCUCUCCAUAGAAUUGUUCUGAUCCCAUCAAACAAACAUGAUGAGCAAAAUCUGAAAAUGUCAAACUAUUUUUGAACCUUGCUACAUGCCCAAAUAAAAUACAAGAAUAUUUUUAGGAAUACAAAAUCAUCCUGCAUCUAUCAUGGCAAAAUUCUCAGUUUGACAUUCAGUAAAAAUUACCAAGAAUGCAAUAAAGCAAGAAAAUACAAACCAUAAUGAAUCUAAAGGAAAGAUUACUUGAUCAAAACUUCUAUGAAUUUAGAAUUAUCAUAAAGUUACAUUAAAAACUCAUUUUCACCUACAUUCCAUAUAGUUAAAAAGCUAAGUGAAGGAAAGAAGUAUAUGAAAAAAGAUCCAAGUGAAAAUUUUAGAAAUGGAAGCUACAAGGUAUAAGAAAAAAAAAUACAUUGGAUGAGAAUAUAUUACAGUAGAUUAGAAGGUUGUAGAUAGAAAAACAAAAUCAGUGAAGCGAAAGAUGAUGCAAUGUACACUGUAUUGAAUGAAUGAAAUUCAGAGAAAAUAACUUGCAACACUCAUAGCAGCUGGAGCCAGGGCACAACUUCAGUCAGCUCAAUACCUGUGAGUUCCACCAUGAGAGGAGAGAAAGGCAGAGUAAAAUAAAGUAUUUGAGUAAAUCUGGACUCAAAAAUUACAGCUUUGAUGGAAGCAUAAACCAAGAAGCUAGGUGAACCCUAGCCCAAGUACCAUGAAGAAAACUACUACAAAACACAAAAUAUUCACGCUGAUCAAAAAGUAGUGAUAAAGAGGACAUUUUAGGAACAGCCAAAGGAAAAAAGUCAUGUUAUAAGUACCUGAACAAAGAUGAGGAGAGUUGUUCCUUAGGAAGAAUCCAAGCCACUUUGGAAGAUUAUUUUAAUUUUUACCUCGAAAAUACCAAUAAACUGUAAAAAUAUCUUUCCCAACUGAAAGUGUGAAAUAAUUUUUUAAGCAAAACCCCUGUAAGUACAAAAGACUGUGUAAUUUGAUUACGUUUUUGAUUUUAAAGGGAAUAAAACAGUACAUAAAACAAAACAAAACAAUGAUAGGACAGUAGGAAAUCCUCAAUUGUUACUAAAUUGUAUAUUGUUAUCCUCUAAAUACUUGCUCAGACUGCAGUCCCAGGCUUGCAAAGUCAUCAAACAACACAUAUAUCACACAAGAACUUCUCAAUGCUCUGAAAUGAUAUCAGUGUGAAAAUAAACAGAUGAAUAUUUCCUUGAUUUAUCACUGAUAAUACCUAUAAAAGAGUGACAAGUCCAAUAACAAAUUUCCCAUUUUUGAAGCUCAAGUUUCUGUAGAGUAUUUCCUAUUAAUAGUAAUUAAAAUUCCCUAGAGAAAUGACUAAUACCAGUCAACGGAACAGGAAAUGUUUGAAGAUGAUUCUUAAAGACACUGCCAUCCAUGACAACAAAGAAACUAGGGAAGAACAGUAGGACUAUGUCUAAAAGACACCAAGGAGCACACCUAGACAAACUACUGUGGCCAAAAGUGAUGCAAUUUGAGCAUCACUAAUGGAUUAUAUCUGUCUUUGGAUUUAAAAUACAUGAAAUAUGUUUAUGUCAUUGAGUUGAUAAUGAUGUUCAAAAAACAAUUGGAAAAUCUUUAGAAGGUACUAAGGUACUAAGAAACAUUAUUUUUAAAAUAGUUUCAAAAGAGGAAAAAUGAAUACAUUUUCCUUUUGGAUGUCUAUAUCUAAGGGCAACAAAUUGCUAAUGAGUGGUUUCUCUUUAUGAUGGUAUUACACUGACACAGAAAGAAAUAAUGAAAGAAUUGGAAAAUUAGCAAUACUUAAUGGAAUAAUAGAUUAUAUGCAGUAAACAUCAAUGGCUAAUAAAACCAUAAAAGUGGUAAUCUAUUUUGAUGAAAUUAUGCAAUAACUCCUUAUGUGGCAGAAAGAGUUGAUAUUCUCAAUUCAUCAAAAUCCUACAUAUAAAGCCUAAUAAUGUGUCUUAGUGGUAGUGUACCUGCCUAGAAUAUGUGAGGACCUGGAUUCAAUCUCUCAUGCUCUCACCCAAAAACAAUUUAUUGAUGUAAUAACCAAUUACAGAAAAAAAGACAUUAUAAAACAAUGCCCCAUAGAGACUCUGUGGAAUAAAAAUGAAACUGUCAACAAAAAUAAUGCAAAGGAAAGAAAAUAAACAGUGGAAAAUCUAUUAAUUAAAAGAUACUUCCAGAAAUCUCAAUCAAUUAUAGUGAAGGCACUUGCGUAGACCUAUUUCCAAAAAAUUGAAAAAUUAAAUUAUUGAAAAUACAUGAAUUACAGUUGUUUUUGGAACUAAUAAAUUGUUAUUAAAUGUGUAGGUAAGAAAAUGGUAUUGCAUGGUAAGCCACUCAAACCAUGCAGGGUCCAGAAAGACAAGUCAGUGCCUCAUGAGAAUCAGCCAUGCUGGGACUGGGAGGAGCCAAACAAGGAGCCAACCAGUCAGCCUUUCUGGUGAGAAGACCUUGAUCUUUGGAUGAUAUAAUGCAUGAUAGUAGAACUCCCAUCAGCAUGGAUCUGUGGAACUUUUUAUAGCCAAGAAUCGCCUUGUCAAAAUAUAACAUGAUCAAAAUAUAGCAUAUUUAAUUUAUGUAGUUAGUUUACAGAAUUACUUGUUAUUUCAGUUUAUCUGUAAUUUCACUUCAGUGAUUGUGACUAGAGGUAAAAUUUCGGAGUCAAAUGGCUUUGUAUCUAUCCUACUACAUAUACAAAAUGUGUACUUGGGCUAGUUUAUUCAUUCAAUAAAAUUCUCAUGUAGAACAUUUA